GGGGAAUAUUGGACAAUGGGCGCAAGCCUGAUCCAGCCAUGCCGCGUGGGUGAAGAAGGCCUUCGGGUUGUAAAGCCCUUUUGUUGGGAAAGAAAAGCAGCCGGCCAAUACCCGGUUGUUCUGACGGUACCCAAAGAAUAAGCACCGGCUAACUUCGUGCCAGCAGCCGCGGUAAUACGUAGGGGGCGAGCGUUGUCCGGAAUUAUUGGGCGUAAAGGGUGCGUAGGCGGCUGAACAAGUCAGAUGUGAAAGGUUAAGGCUUAACUUUAAUAAGCAUAUGAAACUGUUCAGCUUGAGUUAAGGAGAGGGGAGUGGAAUUCCUAGUGUAGCGGUGAAAUGCGUAGAUAUUAGGAGGAAUACCAGUGGCGAAGGCGACUCUCUGGACUUAAACUGACGCUGAGGCACGAAAGCGUGGGGAGCAAACA
rnacentral:rRNA from 1 species